rnacentral:rRNA from 1 species
GACAGAGGAUGCAAGCGUUAUCCGGAAUGAUUGGGCGUAAAGCGUCUGUAGGUGGCUUUUUAAGUCCGCCGUCAAAUCCCAGGCUCAACCCUGGACAGGCGGUGGAAACUACCAAGCUGGAGUACGGUAGGGGCAGAUGGAAUUCCGGGUGUAGCGGUGGAAUGCGUAGAGAUCCGGAAGAACACCAACGGCGAAGGCACUCUGCUGGGCCGACACUGACACUGAGAGACGAAAGCUAGGGGAGCAAAUGGG